ensembl:lncRNA
UUCCCCCGCCGCGAGACCCCGCCCCUGCACCGCAGCUCCCGCCGGGAGCACGCGCACCGCGUUUCCAAGGCAGCGGGCCACGCCGCACCACGUGACGCCAGCGCUUCCGGGUCGGGGCUCGAGGCCCUCAGAACGUGAGCACGUCGGAGUCCCGCGAGCAAGAGCGUCGCUCCGCCGCCUUCACGGCGGACGCCGCGGUCUUGCGCCCCCGUGCGUCUGGAGUAAAGAACGGCCCAGGUUUACGCUUCCCUCCCACGUGACUCGAGCGAGGCGGGCAAAGUCUCGCCGCAGGGUGAAUUCUUCCAGGAGGGGCAGCGAACGCUCGGCGACCGCCGCCUGAGUGCCUUCCCCGACGUGACGGCACCCGUGACGCUCGUCGACUCUAUCGGCCUCCACCCUAAACGAUGGUCGAAAUUAAAUCUACGAAAGGGAAUCGUGCCAGGUGCCUGCCUCCUGUACCUUCCAGAAGUGCGUGCAGAUUACGUGAACGAGUUCACAGCGAGGUGUCUUUCUUUCGAGAGGCUUCUACACCUGCCGGUCCCUGGUCUAUUUCAGGGUGGAGCCGGGCUGCAGAGUGGCGGAUGCACGUGGGACGGGCCCCUUGACAACUGACGCUUCUGCAGAAGGGAAGCCGGGGGUGCGGGUGUGAGAAGAGGCCCACCUAGGAAAGCGAGCAAGAGGGGAGGGCUGGCUACCGCCGCCUCCCGCCAGCGCCUCGAAAUACGAAACACACGGCCUCAAUUUUAUGCAGGAACUGGAUGCCGACUGAUUGGUUAAAUCGGUGCUUCAAGGGGCGCCUGGGUGGCGCAGUCGGUUAAGCGUCCGACUUCAGCCAGGUCACGAUCUCGCGGUCCGUGAGUUCGAGCCCCGCGUCGGGCUCUGGGCUGAUGGCUCGGAGCCUGGAGCCUGUUUCCGAUUCUGUGUCUCCCUCUCUCUCUGCCCCUCCCCCGUUCAUGCUCUGUCUCUCUCUGUCCCCAAAAUAAAUAAAAACAUUGAAAAAAAUUUAAAAAAAAAAAAGAAAAAAAAAAAAAGGUGCUUCAAACCUGAGAGCCUUCCUUUAGCCCAGAAUGAUUUUCCUACAAGGAUCCCUAACCAUCGUAAUGCAACAUUUAAGCCUAAGAGUGUCCUGGGGUGGGGGGUGGGGGGUGGGGGUGGUGACAGCUUGUCCCAAAUUAACCAGGUGUCUUGUGUCUCAGAGAGCCUGGCAUCAUUAGACUGUUCAGACCUGCAGCCCAGAUUCACAGCCAGCCAAUGAAAAAUAAUCACAAAUGGCGCAUUACAUGCGCCCCACCCCUGCCAGUCCAGCUUUAUCUUUUGAAAUCCUUUAAACUAUGUUUUACAUCCCAUCUUCCAUAUUUCAUCAAAAAAAAAAAAAAGAAGAAGAAUUUUAUAAAAGCUUGUAUCCCAUGUGUGGUCAUAAAUGUAUUUUUUUCUUUAUGUCUAUCUCAGCGUAUAAAGUUGGGUUCCUGAAUAAGUCAGCACAGGUCGCCUCCCGAUUCAGCCCUAACAAAACCAGACUUUGGGGAGAAACCGCUUAGAUUACUACAAUUGAAAAAAGCCAGAGAGGGGAUCCUGGGCUCAGUCAGUUGAGUGUCCGAUUUCAGCUCAGGUCAUGAUCUGACGGUUCGUGAGUUUGAGCCCCACAUCGGGCUCACGGCUGUCAGCCCAGAGCUCGCUUGGGAUCCCCUGUCCUCCCCUCUCUCUGCCCCUCCCCUGCUUGCUCUCUCUCUCUCUCUCUCAAAAAUAAACAUUAAAAAAAGCCAAAGAAUAAGGACA